CCAGAUUUCUGCACUGUGAAGCCUCCGUACUCCCUGCCCUAUUCUGCUCUUUGGAAGCAGAGCUUCCCAGGUGGUGGACAGGGAGGCCUGGCGUGCUGCAGUCCAUAGGGUCACAAAGAGUCGGACAUAACUGAGCGACUGAACUGAACUGAACAGGAGAUGAAUGACUCAUGACUUACCAAUCUGGAGUUCUGUCCAUUCUUUCAUUUUUUGAAGGAAACAAAUAACGUCCUGCUAAAAUGACAGUGCUCUUUGGUUUGGAGUUUGUUCUCUAUGGUUUGUGAGAUAUUUUUUCUUUUGCAUAAUUUAUUUCUGCAUUUCCUUAAUUACAGGUUAUAAUGAGUGGAGUAAGGGGAAGAAUGAAAGAAGAAUACCCAAUGCGUAGAAACCAACUUCUAUCAUGGAAGUUCAGCCCUGUCAAAUCCCCCUUGGAAUGGAUGGACAGACAAGUCAGCACACUUGAGCAGAGGAAGUUCCUUGCAAACGUCAGCAGAGAAGCUAAGGUAUAGACUUGGAGUAACCUCUCACUCUGAC
rnacentral:lncRNA from 1 species